GUGACCGUAGCUCAGCCUGGUUAGAGCGCCUGGCUGUGGCCCAGGAGGCCGGGGGUUCAAGUCCCCUCGGUCACCCCA
rnacentral:tRNA from 1 species